rnacentral:rRNA from 1 species
GCUAACUCCGUGCCAGCAGCCGCGGUAAGACGGAGGAUGCAAGCGUUAUCCGGAAUGAUUGGGCGUAAAGCGUCUGUAGGUGGUUUAUUAAGUCUGCUGUUAAAGCACAGGGCUCAACCCUGUAUAGGCGGUAGAAACUGAUAGGCUUGAGUAUGGUAGGGGUAGAGGGAAUUCCCGAUGUAGUGGUGAAAUGCGUUGAUAUCGGGAAGAACACCAAAGGCGAAAGCACUCUGCUGGGCCAAUACUGACACUAAGAGACGAAAGCUAGGGGAGCAAAUGGGAUUAGAUACCCCGGUAGUC